AUUGAACGCUGGCGGCAGGCCUAACACAUGCAAGUCGAGCGGAUGAAGGGAGCUUGCUCCUGGAUUCAGCGGCGGACGGGUGAGUAAUGCCUAGGAAUCUGCCUGGUAGUGGGGGAUAACGUCCGGAAACGGGCGCUAAUACCGCAUACGUCCUGAGGGAGAAAGUGGGGGAUCUUCGGACCUCACGCUAUCAGAUGAGCCUAGGUCGGAUUAGCUAGCUGGUGGGGUAAAGGCCUACCAAGGCGACGAUCCGUAACUGGUCUGAGAGGAUGAUCAGUCACACUGGAACUGAGACACUGUCCAGACUCCUACGGGAGGCAGCAGUGGGGAAUAUUGGACAAUGGGCGAAAGCCUGAUCCAGACAUGCCGCGUGUGUGAAGAAGGUCUUCGGAUUGUAAAGCACUUUAAGUUGGGAGGAAGGGCAGUAAGUUAAUACCUUGCUGUUUUAACGUUACCAACAGAAUAAGCACCGGCUAACUUCGUG
rnacentral:rRNA from 1 species